rnacentral:rRNA from 1 species
GAUGAACGCUGGCGGUAUGCUUAACACAUGCAAGUCGAACGGACUCUUCGGAGUUAGUGGCGGACGGGUGAGUAACGCGUGAGAAUCUGGCUUUGGGUUCGGGACAACCACUGGAAACGGUGGCUAAUACCGGAUGUGCCGAGAGGUAAAAGAGAAAUUGCCUGAAGAUGAGCUCGCGUCUGAUUAGCUAGUUGGUGAGGUAAAGGCUCACCAAGGCAGCGAUCAGUAGCUGGUCUGAGAGGAUGACCAGCCACACUGGGACUGAGACACGGCCCAGACACCUACGGGAGGCAGCAGUGGGGAAUUUUCCGCAAUGGGCGAAAGCCUGACGGAGCAAUACCGCGUGAGGGAAGAAGGCUCUUGGGUUGUAAAACUCUUUUCUUAGGGAAGAACAAAAUGACGGUACCUAAGGAAUCAGCAUCGGCUAACUCCGUG